rnacentral:tRNA from 1 species
UGGCUCAGUGGCAGAGUGCUUGCCUUUCAUGCAUGAGGCCCUGGGUUCGAAUCCACAG